rnacentral:rRNA from 1 species
UACGUAGGGGGCAAGCGUUGUCCGGAAUCAUUGGGCGUAAAGAGCGUGUAGGCGGCUCGGUAAGUCCGCUGUGAAAGUCCAGGGCUCAACCCUGGAAAGCCGGUGGAAACUGUCGAGCUCGAGUCCGGAAGAGGCGAGUGGAAUUCCUGGUGUAGCGGUGAAAUGCGCAGAUAUCAGGAGGAACACCAACGGCGAAGGCAGCUCGCUGGGACGGUACUGACGCUAAGGCGCGAAAGCGUGGGGAGCGAACAGG